ACUGGAUGUGCCUGCAGGUGAAUGGUUUGUUGCCUGAAGAUGAGCUCGCGUCUGAUUAGCUAGUUGGUGGGGUAAGAGCCUACCUAGGCUACGAUCUGUAGCUGGUCUGAGAGGAUGAUCAGCCACACUGGGACUGAGACACGGCCCAGACUCCUACGGGAGGCAGCAGUGGGGAAUUUUCCGCAAUGGGCGAAAGCCUGACGGAGCAAUACCGCGUGAGGGAGGAAGGCUCUUGGGUUGUAAACCUCUUUUCUCAGGGAAGAACACAAUGACGGUACCUGAGGAAUCAGCAUCGGCUAACUCCGUGCCAGCAGCCGCGGUAAUACGGAGGAUGCAAGCGUUAUCCGGAAUGAUUGGGCGUAAAGCGUCCGCAGGUGGCUGUGUAAGUCUGCUGUCAAAGAGCGAAGCUCAACUUCCUAAAGGCAGUGGAAACUACACGGCUAGAGUGCGUUCGGGGCAGAGGGAAUUCCUGGUGUAGCGGUGAAAUGCGUAGAGAUCAGGAAGAACACCGGUGGCGAAGGCGCUCUGCUAGGCCGCAACUGACACUGAGGGACGAAAGCUAGGGGAGCGAAAUGGAUUAGAUAC
rnacentral:rRNA from 1 species